rnacentral:pre_miRNA from 1 species
CCGUGGUGCAUUGUAGUUGCAUUGCAUUGAAAGCAGACAUUGUAAUUGUGCAAUGCUUCUGCAGUGCAAGCAUGG